ACAGAGCACAAGGGCAGACAAAAAAUGAAGGUGCAAAAAGGCCCGCAGUGAAACGGGGGGGGUUGUUUGCGCUUUUCUCUUUCAUUACCGGUGUCUUUUCAAGCCUGAUGAAAAGUGGGCGGGGCAGGGGAGAAUGAACUGCCUGGAACUGUAACCUAAAACCAGAAAGGCGUAAGGGGGGCAAUAAAGGGAACAGUGCGAGGGCCAACACAACUCCAGCUGUGCGGGUGCGCGGCCAGGGCACUGCCGGGCACAAUUUGGGGUCAUCUGCACAACUUACACCUGUCCCAGGUACUUCUGGGCUCCGAACAAGCUUUUGUGCCUUGGAAAUUCACCAGUUCUCUGAAAAAAAAUCCCUUGUUGCUAUGGAAAUACCAUCCCUUCACGAUGAAUCCUUCUUGAAGGUGGAGGACAUUGGCAAGACUAAACCUGCCUGCUCGUCUUGCUCUAUUCUUCUGAGACUCGUUUUUACAACCUUCGCAGGAUGUGAAUUCAUUCAGCGUGGUGGCCUCCUGCAGGGAGUGCUCUGCUCACACCAUCUUGUACCAACAGGCAGCCUGAGGAGAGCCCUCUGUGCCAGGGCCUGGCUGCAGGACACCUGGCAGCACUCACAGCAGCCCUGUGCUUCCUGCAACUUGUAUGUUUAAAUAUUUCUAAUGAUGGGGGAAACAAAUUGUUACAGCUACAAAUCACCUGCCAGAGUGACCAGAUUUGCAUCAUAAACCUUUGCACAAUCUGUACUUGACAAAAGCCAGGUUGUCCCUCAGUAACUUAAUUUUUUUUUGAGAGUUUAGGAAGGGCUGUGGUAGGAAAAUGUGGUUCAAAGCAGCAUUCAAUGUGCUGAAUACUUUUUAUUCCAAGUGCAAAUCUGUGACUGUACCUGUUAAGAUUGUAUUAGAAUGAUUAAACCAAUGAAAACAGAUUUAUUGCCA